rnacentral:RNase_P_RNA from 1 species
CCAGUUGGCCGGGCAGCCGCGCUUCACCAAUGCCGAAAGGCGGUGAGGUGAGGAAAGUCCGGGCUCCACGGAAACACGGUGCCGGAUAACGUCCGGCGGGGGCGACCCCAGGGAAAGUGCCACAGAAAGGAAACCGCCCCGCUUUCUGAUCCGCUCGUGCGCCGAGCGGCUGAGAUAGCGGGGUAAGGGUGAAAGGGUGGGGUAAGAGCCCACCGCGCUUCUGGUAACAGCGGCGGCAAGGUAAACCCCACCGGGAGCAAGACCGAAUAGGGAUGACGCGAAUCCUGGCGAAAGCCGGGAUCACAGCCUGUUUCUGGGCCAGUCAUCCGGGUGGGUUGCGUGAGGCGAUGUGCAAACAUCGUCCCAGAUGAAUGGCUGCCACGUUCCGCUGCUUGCAUCGGAGCCAUACAGAACCCGGCUUACAGGCCAACUGGCAAU